AUAUAUAUGACAGAGAUCGUUUUUAUCUGGCCCUCCAACUUGUUUUUGAGGUUUAAAUAUUCUCGCAAUCUGAUAUUAAAGUGAUCUCUGUGCCAAAGCUUAGCGCGUUCAUCAGUGGUGAGUUUAACAACACUCAACUGCAGGUAAAACAGCAGUCAGCGGUGAGUUUGACCAAAGCAACACUCAACUGCAGGGAAAACGGCAUAAAAAGGUGAGUUUAACAACGCUCCAAGGCGCGUGCAAGUAAGCAGUUUAACCGUUUUCUUACACACCAUUCUCGCUUAUCGCUUAUUCAUAGUUCAUCAUCUCUAUGAAAUCACGUUCAAGAAGUCUCAUUCAGCACACAUCGCGAUACUUGCCAUCAGUUUCCAUGUGCCACAGGGUCGAUGUAAAGGAAGCAGUCAUCCCUGUGGUGUUUGUGGAGAGGUUUUCCUUCAGAAAUGGAGAAGACUGAAAGCUGCGGAGGCAGACAUUUGCAGCAGCCAAGUGUUCGAGUGAGCAUGGUGACCACAAGUGUGUGUCGAACUUUUCAUGACCUGAUGACAGUGGUUCCCGUUCCUGAUCCUGGAGAACCCCAGCACUGCACGGUUUUGCCGUCUCUCUUAUCUGACAAACACACUUUUGAGGUCUUGGAGUCUUCACUGAUGAGCUGAUGAGUUGAAUCAGGUGUGUUUGAUCAGGGAGACAUCUCAAAUGUGCAGUGUUGGGCUUCUCCAGGACCAGGAUUGGGAGCCACUGCCUUACGGGACACACUUAAGUGUUUACAGAGAUUUUUUUUUUUUUUUUUUGAUUAUUAUUCAACUUUGCAUUUUAAAAGAAAUUCUAAUUCUCUUUUCAUUAGUCCCUAUUACAGAGGACAAUUAAAUUUUUGGGGCUUCUAAUUAAGUGAAAAAAAAGCAGUUGCAAAUGAUGUACAAAAUAAAUAUACUUUUCUGUACACCAAGAAAACAUGCAACACUUUGUUUUACUUCCAAAUUAUUCUCAGUAUCUAAUUAUUAUUAUUAUUAUUAUUAAUAAUAAUAUUUCACAUACAUUGGAAAGGUUUCCGUGAGCAGAUCAAUUACACUACUGAUAACAUUCCUUUAAGCAUGUAAUAUAUUUUUUUAUAAUUCAUAUGAAUAUAGCUUGCUAUU